rnacentral:lncRNA from 1 species
CCGCUAGUCGCGCGCGUCAGCGUGGACUCCCCGGAGCGAGUCGCUAGGUAACGGGGCUGGCUCCGCAGACCCGGGGCCGGGGAAGCCCGCGCGCAUCAGCAGCAGCCGUGCCGGGAGCGGGGGUGGAGGGCGCACAGACCCUCCCUCACCCCGGCCUGCGGACCUCAGCUCGCACGCCGCCCCCUCCCAGGAUGCCUUAACCCGAGCCGCCCGCCGCCGAGGUGCCCGUGCCUUGCAGGACCCCGACGCCGCCAGCCCCUUACUCCUUUCCAGCCGGCGCGCACAGCUCUGCGCGCCGCAGGGUGGGCUCCCCACUGUCGCGGUCGGCCGUCGCCCCCGAUCCUCCUGCCGAGCCCGGCGCGGGGCAUGAGGAGCCCCUGGGCGCCGCCCGGAGACAACCCGGAGGCGCGCACACCUCGCCAGCGCGGACGGGGACAUGAGCCGCGCGCACGGGGUCCGGCGCCCGGCGGCCAGCCCCAGCCGGCGGCGGCCCGCGUAUCGGCGCUGCCCGAGAGAAUGAGGCAGGAGCCGGUGGCAGCCUCUUCUUUCUUCUCCUCUUCCUCCUCUUCGCCUUUCUCCGACUCCGGCGCCCCGGGCCCGGGCCGGGCUGUGGCUCUGCUGCGUGCCCCGCGCGCCCCCCGCCCGCCUCCGGAUGCGCUGCUCGGCCUGGGAUGGUCCUCCUGCCCUUCAGGGUCCAUUCAAAAUCUGCAGUGGAGCAAGGAGGCCAGGAAGGAGAGCCCAGGCUGGGAGUCAAGGGGCCUGCUUGUCAGACCUGCCUUCCCGCUUGUCUCACCUGGACACUUGAGGAUGAGCCUCCACCUGACUCCGGC